GUAGGGAAUCUUCCACAAUGGACGAAAGUCUGAUGGAGCAACGCCGCGUGAGUGAAGAAGGGUUUCGGCUCGUAAAACUCUGUUGUUAAAGAAGAACAUAUCUGAGAGUAACUGUUCAGGUAUUGACGGUAUUUAACCAGAAAGCCACGGCUAACUACGUGCCAGCAGCCGCGGUAAUACGUAGGUGGCAAGCGUUGUCCGGAUUUAUUGGGCGUAAAGCGAGCGCAGGCGGUUUUUUAAGUCUGAUGUGAAAGCCUUCGGCUCAACCGAAGAAGUGCAUCGGAAACUGGGAAACUUGAGUGCAGAAGAGGACAGUGGAACUCCAUGUGUAGCGGUGAAAUGCGUAGAUAUAUGGAAGAACACCAGUGGCGAAGGCGGCUGUCUGGUCUGUAACUGACGCUGAGGCUCGAAAGUAUGGGUAGCAAACAGGAUUAGAAACCCUAGUAGUCCC
rnacentral:rRNA from 1 species